GUGGUUAUAGCUUAAUGGGUAAAGCUUUUAUUUUGUAAUUAAAUGAUUAAGGGUUCAAACCUUACCUUG
rnacentral:tRNA from 1 species